rnacentral:rRNA from 1 species
UACAGAGGUCCCGAGCGUUAGGCGGAAUCACUGGGCUUAAAGCGUGUGUAGGCGGAUGCCUAAGUGCUUUGUGAAAUCCCACGGCUCAACCGUGGAAUUGCUUGGCAUACUGGGUGUCUUGAGCCACUUAGGGGCGAACGGAACAGACGGGGGAGCGGUGAAAUGCGUAGAUAUCGUCUGGAACGCAAAGGGUGAAAACAGUUCGCUGGGAGUGUGCUGACGCUGAGACACGAAAGCCAGGGGAGCAAACGGG